rnacentral:rRNA from 1 species
GAUUCAUGAUAACUCCUCGAAUCGCAUAGCCUUGUGCCGGCGAUGGUUCAUUCAAAUUUCUUCCCUAUCAACUUUCGAUGUUUGGGUAUUGGCCAAACAUGGUUGCAACGGGUAACGGAGGGUUAGGGCUCGACCCCGGAGAAGGAGCCUGAGAAACGGCUACUACAUCCAAGGAAGGCAGCAGGCGCGCAAAUUACCCAAUCCCGACACGGGGAGGUAGUGACAAUAAAUACUGAUACAGGGCUCUUUUGGGUCUUGUAAUUGGAAUGAGUACAAUUUAAAUCCCUUAACGAGGAACAAUUGGAGGGCAAGUCUGGUGCCAGCAGCCGCGGUAAUUCCAGCUCCAAUAGCGUAUAUUAAAGUUGUUGUGGUUAAAAAGCUCGUAGUUGAACCUUGGGCCUGGCUGGCCGGUCCGCCUCACCGCGUGUACUGGUCCGGCCGGGCCUUUCCCUCUGUGGAACCCCAUGCCCUUCACUGGGUGUGGCGGGGAACCAGGACUUUUAC